UGGGGAAUAUUGGACAAUGGGCGCAAGCCUGAUCCAGCCAUGCCGCGUGAGUGAUGAAGGCCCUAGGGUUGUAAAGCUCUUUCACCGGGGAAGAUAAUGACGGUAACCGGAGAAGAAGCCCCGGCUAACUUCGUGCCAGCAGCCGCGGUAAUACGAAGGGGGCUAGCGUUGUUCAGAUUUACUGGGCGUAAAGCGCACGUAGGCGGACUUUUAAGUCAGGGGUGAAAUCCCGGGGCUCAACCCCGGAACUGCCUUUGAUACUGGAAGUCUUGAGUAUGGUAGAGGUGAGUGGAAUUCCGAGUGUAGAGGUGAAAUUCGUAGAUAUUCGGAGGAACACCAGUGGGGAAGGCGGCUCACUGGACCAUUACUGACGCUGAGGUGCGAAAGCGUGGGGAGCAAACAGG
rnacentral:rRNA from 1 species